UAAGGAAUAUCGCGCAAUGGGGGAAACCCUGACGCAGCAACGCCGCGUGGGCGAUGAAGGUCUUCGGAUCGUAAAGCCCUUUUCUGAGGGAAGAGCAAGGACGGUACCUCAGGAAUAAGUCUCGGCUAACUACGUGCCAGCAGCCGCGGUAAAACGUAGGAGGCUAGCGUUAUCCGGAUUUACUGGGCGUAAAGCGCGUGCAGGCGGUGUUUCAAGUUGGGCGUGAAAUCUCUCGGCUUAACCGGGAGGCGCCGUCCAAUACUGGAGCACUUGAGGGCAGGAGAGGGAAGUAGAAUUCCCGGUGUAGCGGUAAUAUGCGCAGAUAUCGGGAGGAAUACCAGUGGCGAAGGCGGCUUCCUGGCCUGCUCCUGACGCUAAGACGCGAAAGCUAGGGGAGCGAACGG
rnacentral:rRNA from 1 species